CCGAGCAGAUAAGCUCAUUCCUUCUUUUCCUUCCUCUUUCUUCUACUCUUUCUUCUAUUCUUUCUUCUCAUUCUUUCUUCUUCUUCUCCUCUGUUUUUCAUCUGAGAGUGUAGGUGAGAACCGAUCUGAGGGAAAUUAUUGAGGAAGUUCUAUAGGCGACAAAGGUGAUGGUGUUGCUGUUAAUUAUGAUGGAGAAGAAUAAAGUAUUGUUUGGUUUACGAUUCACAGGGGGAGAAGUAAAGUUAGGGUUAUGAAGUUAGGAUUCGUGAAGAACCGAUGAUGAUAUCGAGUUGAUGAUUGAUGAGGAAAAGAAGAGGUUGUUGUUGAAUCAAGGUUCUGAAGAUGUAUAGUGAGUCUGUGAUGAAAUUAGGGUUCGAGAGAAGUGUUAGAAGAUGGGAUUAGAGUCGAAGGUGGAUGAUUAGAUAUGGGUAUGAUUGAUAUGAGGACUUAGUUAUAUUUUGAACAUGAAUCAAAAGACAGAGGGUUGAGAAUCAAUUUUAGGGUUUUCUGGAGAGGAUUGAUUCUGUGAGAAAUUGAGGAAUAAUUAAAGAUGGGUUAUGAUCAGGUACGACAUUUAGAUAUUUAUAUGAAGUUUAAUUUUGAUUCAAGGGUUAGUUAGGGUUUUAAAGAUUAGGAUUGAAGCUGUUGUUGAAGAUGGGGUUUAAUCAUACAAAUAAGGUUGAUUGUAUUGGUACUUAAUUACAGUUGGGGAUUAUAUGUUUGAGAUGUAGAAAUUGGUGUUUAGAGAAUUUGGUGGUGGUGAUGUUGAACUGGUGGAUAUGUAUGAUUUGAAUUGUUGUUAGUGUAGUGCAGGGUUGAAUGGAGCGUUACAAAGGACUAUAAUUAUUGAAUGGAGCGUUACAAAGAAUUGUCUUAUGUUAGAUUAGUAGAAAGAUUGCUAAGUUGCAGGGAGGAAUUGAACCUGUGGUGGUAUGAGAUUGUUAAGAUAACGGAAAAUGAGAUGUAUGGUCUGUCGUAGGUAAAGAAGAUAGAUGAACUGUUGGAGCUUAUUGUCUUGAAAUGGAACUGGAAUAGGUGUAGGAAUUGUAUUACAUAGAACUGUUGGUGUUGGCAAUGAAGAACUGGAAAUGAUGUUUUGGUUAGAUAAAUGAUGAAGGUGGUAAGGUAAUUAGGAAUGAAGAGGCAGUGUAUGGGGUUAGAGUAUUUGGUGAGUUGUUGCAGGUGGUAUCUAAGGAUGGUGGUAUUGUUUGUAUAACGGAUUCCUGAGUUUGUAUCUCAGAUAGUGAAGAUGUGUGUUUUUGGGUGAUAAAGCUCAACUUGGUGAUGCUGUGAGAGUUUGUAUUUGAGUUAUUCAACUGAAGAUUGGUCAUUACAGAGUUGUAGAUUGUGAUUGUUGUGAAAGCAUGGAACUGAUGAAAUUGCAGUUAGUCUAUUAACAACGAUCGAUUCAAAGGAUGAACCAGUGGAUCGUGGAUCUCGAGGUAGGAGUGGCUUAUCAUCAAAAGAGUUUCAGAGACAGAUCAGAAUUGUGCAGCGGAAGCUUCGUGGCGUUGAGUCCGUUAGUCGGAUAGUGUCUACUAUUUUUAUAUGUAUUUAUAAUUUAUUUGCAAACCAAAUGACUAUUGUGUAUGUAUCAUUUGAGAUGAG